rnacentral:rRNA from 1 species
UACGUAGGGUGCAAGCGUUAAUCGGAAUUACUGGGCGUAAAGCGUGCGCAGGCGGUUUUGUAAGUCUGACGUGAAAGCCCCGGGCUCAACCUGGGAAUUGCGUUGGAGACUGCAAGGCUUGAAUCUGGCAGAGGGGGGUAGAAUUCCACGUGUAGCAGUGAAAUGCGUAGAUAUCUGGAGGAACAUCAGUGGCGAAGGCGGCUGCCUGGCCAAACACUGACGCUCAGGUGCGAAAGCGUGGGGAGCAAACAGGAUUAGAUA